GACGAACGCUGGCGGCGUGCUUAACACAUGCAAGUCGAACGGAAAGGCCCUGCUUUUGUGGGGUGCUCGAGUGGCGAACGGGUGAGUAACACGUGAGUAACCUGCCCUUGACUUUGGGAUAACUUCAGGAAACUGGGGCUAAUACCGGAUAGGAGCUCCUGCUGCAUGGGGGGGGUUGGAAAGUUUCGGCGGUUGGGGAUGGAUUCGCGGCUUAUCAGCUUGUUGGGGGGGUAGUGGCUUACCAAGGCUUUGACGGGUAGCCGGCCUGAGAGGGUGACCGGCCACAUUGGGACUGAGAUACGGCCCAGACUCCUACGGGAGGCAGCAGUGGGGAAUAUUGCGCAAUGGGCGGAAGCCUGAUGCAGCAACGCCGCGUGCGGGAUGACGGCCUUCGGGUUGUAAACCGCUUUCGCCUGUGACGAAGCGUGAGUGACGGUAAUGGGUAAAGAAGCACCGGCUAACUACGUG
rnacentral:rRNA from 1 species